GUGCCUACAGAGAAGUUGCUAAACUACAAUGCCAUACAAUCUUCACCAUUGAUCAUGAUAUUUGGGAGUUGCAUUUCACCACUGUGUCAAGAUGGUGUCAACUCAAGGUAAACUUGCCAAGGUACAACAAUCCCAGCAUGAGACUAUCUGGAGCCCUCUCUGCUUUAGGGUAACCCUAAAGACUAGAGUUGAAAACUCAGAAAGGAAAAGAAGAACCUUUGACAGAAUUAUUUCAUUUGGAGCAACAUCAAACCAAAGGGCUUAUUUCCCCUCAACGUCAUCAGAGUGAUAAAGAACCUGGCAUUGUCCAAUGGAGAGCUGGCCAUCUUUUUCCCCUCCCUUAAAAACAGCUAAAUAUUUGGAUGGAGAACUCAAAUCAUUUGCCUCUUAGACUUUUUCUUCACUCUCUGGAUUUCAAUGUCUUAUGAAAGAAUUUUGUUUCCUUUCAUGAGUUGACAAUGCAGCUUGGCUAUCAUGGAAAAAAAAAUAAACUCUGUAUUCU